rnacentral:siRNA from 1 species
GAACUGGUACGGACAAGGGG